rnacentral:rRNA from 1 species
AUACGGAGGGUGCAAGCGUUAAUCGGAAUUACUGGGCGUAAAGCGCAUGCAGGCGGUUUGUUAAGCGAGAUGUGAAAGCCCCGGGCUCAACCUGGGAACUGCAUUUCGAACUGGCAAACUAGAGUUCUUGAGAGGGUGGUAGAAUUUCAGGUGUAGCGGUGAAAUGCGUAGAGAUCUGAAGGAAUACCAGUGGCGAAGGCGGCCACCUGGCAAGUAACUGACGCUCAGAUGCGAAAGCGUGGGUAGCAAACGGGAUUAGAAACCCGAGUAGUCC